rnacentral:rRNA from 2 species
UUUAAUUGAAGAGUUUGAUCAUGGCUCAGAUUGAACGCUGGCGGCAGGCCUAACACAUGCAAGUCGAGCGGUAACAGAUUGAUAGCUUGCUAUCAAUGCUGACGAGCGGCGGACGGG